AGAAUACGAAGCGUUCAUACUAGGAUUGUUGGCGGCUCAAGAGUUGGGAGCCAAAUAUCUUAAAGUAAAGGGAGAUUCAAACCUUAUAGUGUAGCAGAUAAGAGGCCAAUUCGGAGUGAAGGAACCUAUCUUGGCGCCGUAUCGAACUGUAACACAAAAGGUGAUGGAGGCUUACAAGAAGGUGGUGAUUGAAUAUGUG
rnacentral:lncRNA from 1 species